AGGGAUGCAGCUCCAAGGUAGAGUGCGUGCUUAGCAUACAUGAGGUCCUGGGUUCAAUUCCCAGCACCUCCU
rnacentral:tRNA from 1 species